rnacentral:misc_RNA from 1 species
GAUGAAGAACGUAGCGAAAUGCGAUAAGUAGUGUGAAUUGCAGAAUUCCGUGAAUCAUCGAAUUUUUGAACGCACAUUGCGCCUUCUGGUAUUCCGGAAGGCAUGCCUGUUCGAGAGUCAUUAACAACCGUUUCGGUCCCUUUCUUUCAGAAAUUACAAAGAGGAAAAGGGUUUGGUUAUGGUGGAGGAGGGAAAGGGAGCGUUUAGCCUGUAAAAAAAGAGGCUGUGUUCCGCCUCCCCCCCAAAAUUGUACAGGCGGUCGUGUGCGCCCACGCAUCGAGGUGUUGUAAAAGCUGCCACGGCACUUUUCACCUGUGCAGUGCGAGAUUGGCCAGCCGGUUUAAAAACCCCUCCAAACAAUCAAAGGUUGACCUCGGAUCAGGUAGGGAUACCCGCUGAACUUAAGCAUAUCAAUAAGCGGAGGA